UCCCGGCGUCGGGAUCCAGUACGCAGGCCCGCCGAGCGGCCAAUGAAGGCGGGAGGCUCGCGGUGUAGAGCCCGUCAGCCCCGGAGCCGCGUCCCGCACCCGGACAUCCCGGAAUAUCAUCAGCCACUCCACACUUCGAUCUCAAUGGCCAAGUUCUGUCAGAAAUUGCUCACAAGCUUUGGACCAAGGAACCAAGACCAUCCGUGGAGACAUGAUCAUCUUUCCCAUUACAACUUUCUGCUUCAUAACCUUCUCCCCUUCCCAGUAAUCACCUCAGAGACCCACAUGUAUUUACUAAGUGCUACCAACUUGCCAGGCACUAUGCUAAAGAAGUAAAUGUUUUAUGCUCUUGA